rnacentral:rRNA from 1 species
GACGAACGCUGGCGGCGUGCCUAAUACAUGCAAGUUGAGCGCUGAAGGUUGGUACUCGUACCAACUGGAUGAGCAGCGAACGGGUGAGUAACGCGUGGGGAAUCUGCCUUUGAGCGGGGGACAACAUUUGGAAACGAAUGCUAAUACCGCAUAAAAACUUUAAACACAAGUUUUAAGUUUGAAAGAUGCAAUUGCAUCACUCAAAGAUGAUCCCGCGUUGUAUUAGCUAGUUGGCGAGGUAAAGGCUCACCAAGGCGAUGAUACAUAGCCGACCUGAGAGGGUGAUCGGCCACAUUGGGACUGAGACACGGCCCAAACUCCUACGGGAGGCAGCAGUAGGGAAUCUUCGGCAAUGGACGAAAGUCUGACCGAGCAACGCCGCGUGAGUGAAGAAGGUUUUCGGAUCGUAAAACUCUGUUGGUAGAGAAGAACGUUGGUGAGAGUGGAAAGCUCAUCAAGUGACGGUAACUACCCAGAAAGGGACGGCUAACUACGUGCCAGCAGCCGCGGUAA